UCUGCCCAGCAACAUAUUCGCGCCACAGUCGAUAAAGGAAGGGGAAAAAAAGUUGCCAGUCUACGAAGGGUUAGGAUGGAGACUGCUUCUUUGCUGCUGUCAAAUACCAUGUGGAAGAUCAGAAAACGUCGGCAGGAGGUGGGAGAGAAGGCAAUGCAGAGAUGAAGGACAUCAUACCACAAUAAUAGUUGUGUGUAUAAGCCUGAUCAACAAGUGAAAAGAGUCAGAUAAGAGGAAAGAGUUUGAAAACUGAUUUGACGACCGCUGCUGAAUUGGCCUGCUAAGAGGAAGAGGCACUAAUGAUUCCAGAAGAGGAAGCCAAAGAAGAAGACCUACACAGACUUUGAAAUGGAUCUCUCAAUUGCCAUGAUGAC